rnacentral:rRNA from 1 species
GGGGAAUUGUUCGCAAUGGGCGCAAGCCUGACGACGCAACGCCGCGUGGAGGAUGAAGGUCUUCGGAUUGUAAACUCCUGUUGAUCGGGAAGAAUGGACUCCGGGUUAAUACUCCGGGGUAAUGACGGUACCGGACGAAUAAGCUCCGGCUAACUCCGUGCCAGCAGCCGCGGUAACACGGGGGGAGCAAGCGUUGUUCGGAAUCACUGGGCGUAAAGGGCGUGUAGGCGGUCAGGUAAGUGUGAUGUGAAAUCCCUCGGCUCACCCGAGGACCGGCAUCGCAUACUGCUUGGCUUGAGUACGGGAGAGGAUGUGGGAAUUCCUGGUGUAGCGGUGAAAUGCGUAGAUAUCAGGAGGAACACCGGUGGCGAAGGCGCACAUCUGGCCCGAUACUGACGCUGAGGCGCGAAAGCUAGGGGAGCAAA